UAUUAUAUGAACAUCAUUUUAUUUAUUUUGUUAUGUGUUAUUUCACUUGACUCACCAGUGUCAUCAGGUCAGUGAAUAAGGACAUGAAGGCUGGGUUUCCUGAUAAGGACUCCUUUUUAAACUAGGUUCAAUCAUAUUUGAUCAAUAACAGUUAAUGCUCUGCCAUAUAGUGUGAGACAAAUUCCAUUUUGAUAAAGCAUUCAUAUUAGCUAUUAAGUUUCAGUGUCGAUCAAGAAACUUUACAGACAUUAGUUUUUAACUGUGCAGGGCUUUUUGGAAUUUUAAGUGUGGAUUUUCUCAUUUUAAACCUAGUUUUCUAAGCUCUUUCUAAGUCUUUAAAUAUGUUCACACUGCAGGCUCAUCUGUGAACUCAGAUCUGUUUUUUUCAUGACAGUAUUGAUAGUACAAAUUACAAGUACAAAUAUGAUCUUUUCAAUUCUGAUCUGGUCCACUUCCAUACAGCAUACGUGGUCCUUAAUCGGAUACAGAGCUGAUCUUUUUCCACGUGACCUCAGUCUGAACAGUCAGAUCAGAAUUUGUACGACUUUUGUAUUACUUAAAGUGGACAUUCAACACAAUUCUGCACUGGAGAGAGUCACAUGAAUCCAAAACAUAAAGCACUGACAGGUACCUUUUAACUAUUUUUACUGUGUAUAUGAACAGUUUUACUGAAGGGAAUGAUCCGAACACUUCUAACUCCACUGGUUUUGUGCAGGUUUACACUGGGAUCUGAAAUGGGCCACAUU